rnacentral:rRNA from 1 species
AGUGAACGCUGGCGGUAGGCCUAACACAUGCAAGUCGAACGGCAGCACAGUAAGAGCUUGCUCUUACGGGUGGCGAGUGGCGGACGGGUGAGGAAUACAUCGGAAUCUACUUUUUCGUGGGGGAUAACGUAGGGAAACUUACGCUAAUACCGCAUACGACCUACGGGUGAAAGCAGGGGAGCUUCGGACCUUGCGCGAUUGAAUGAGCCGAUGUCGGAUUAGCUAGUUGGCGGGGUAAAGGCCCACCAAGGCGACGAUCCGUAGCUGGUCUGAGAGGAUGAUCAGCCACACUGGAACUGAGACACGGUCCAGACUCCUACGGGAGGCAGCAGUGGGGAAUAUUGGACAAAGGGCGCAAGCCUGAUCCAGCCAUACCGCGUGGGUGAAGAACGCCUUCGGGUUGUAAAGCCCUUUUGUUGGGAAAGAAAAGCAGCAGGUUAAUACCCCGCUGCUCUGACGGUACCCAAAGAAUAAGCACCGGCUAACUUCGUG